CCACUGACAAGAUCUCUUUUGCCAUAUAAGCACUUCUCCUUGAUGCCACCACGCAAAGAAGAACUUGCUUGUUUCCCCUUCUACCAUGAUUCCAUGCCAUUCCUCUCUGCAUGAAAAUACAAGCAUGACUACUUCUUUAAAGAAACUGCAACCCACAAUCAUGUUCCAAGGCAGCUGCAAGAUCACUAAAGCAACUUUCAAUGAGUAACUUUCUCCAUCAUUCCAUGAUUCAUGCCACUUAGACUGAAAUGUAACGCACAAACAGAUUUAAUGUCAACUCUGGCGGUAACAGAGCUACUCCUGCUCCCUCAAAAAUCUUUAUAUAUAUAUAUAUAUAUAUAUGUUCUGGAAUACUUGGUAGAACGUGAACGUGCAGGUUUGUUACAAAGGUAUACAUGUGCCAUGGUGGUUUACUGCACCCAUCAACCCGUCAUCUACAUUAGGUAUUUCUCCUAAUGCUAUCCCUCCCCUAGCCCCCCACCACCCGACAGGCCCUGGUGUGUGAUGUUCCCCUCCCUGUGCCCAUAUGUUCUCAUUGUUCAACUCCCACUUUUGAGUGAGAACGAUAUAAUGCUUUUAAUAAACAAUGUGCAACUAUAAAAAAUUUGAAGCAUAUAGCCACAAUACAUCUAAGUGAAUUCAAAAGUCAGGUAAUUAAUAUAAUGACUUGUUAAUAAUUAUGAAAUUCCUAUAAUUUAUUUUUCCUAUAAGAAUAGAAACAAGAUUUUAAAAUAUUAAAAAUGAGUUUUCUAAAAAAAAAUCAGCAUUUCAACAUUGUCAAACAAUAAAUUAGACCUAAAUUAAGGAAUAAUAAAUGACAAUCUUUUUAUUUCCCCAAUGCACUUGACAUAAAUACCAUUCAAAUGUCACUAAGGAAAUGAAACCAAUUCAAUAAAAUUUUUUUUUACUUGAAAUAAAUGUUAUAGUUGUGGCAAAAUUUUAGGGGUUGAGUAAUAUGAAAUUUUUCAUAUUUUUCUAAAGCCCUGAAAUAAAGUAUGUGAAUGUUUGUGAAUGUACACACACAGACACACACACACACAAUGAAGAGCUGUAAAUAAUCUGUAUCCAUUCAAGUCACUACACUGAUUCUCCUUUAUAAACUGCAU
rnacentral:lncRNA from 10 species